CUAAAUGUAAAUUAAAAAAUUAAAGAAGUAUUAGUUAAGUUCUUGAAAUUUAAAGAUUUUGGCGGUAUUUUAGUCUUUUCAGAGGAACCUGUUCUAUAAUUGAUAAUCCACGAUUAAAAAAACUUAAAUUAGAAAUUUAUAUAUCAUCGUAGUUUGAAUAUUUUACAAGAAUUUAAUAUUCAAUAUUUUUAAUUAAAAAAUAAAUCAGAUCAAGGUAUAGUUUAUAUUUAAGAAGAAAUGGGUUACAAUAAAUUUAUUUAUGGAUAAAAAAAAUAUUUUUUUUUUGAAAUUGGAUUUGAAAGUAAUUUUAUUUUUUUAAUUAAAAUGAUUUAGCUCUAAAAUAUGU
rnacentral:rRNA from 1 species